rnacentral:rRNA from 1 species
UACGAAGGGGGCUAGCGUUGCUCGGAAUCACUGGGCGUAAAGCGCACGUAGGCGGACUCUUAAGUCGGUGGUGAAAUCCUGGAGCUCAACUCCAAAACUGCCUUCGAUACUGGGAGUCUUGAGUCCGGGAGAGGUGAGUGGAACUGCGAGUGUAGAGGUGAAAUUCGUAGAUAUUCGCAAGAACACCAGUGGCGAAGGCGGCUCACUGGCCCGGUACUGACGCUGAGGUGCGAAAGCGUGGGGAGCAAACAGG